GCAUUACUAAUUUUCUUAUGGCUGUACCGGACGAAACAGAUAUUUUAUCCAAUACAGCGGUUCCAGCUUACACAUUCAGAGAGGAGCCAACGGAAA